CUGCUUUUGCUUCCACAUUUGACUGUAUUUGUUCUGAACUUCAGUUGUAAUUUUUUACUUACUGGAUCAACUUCAAACUGGUUUCAUUUGUUCAGCUGAAGACACUGAAACAUUUUAUCCUCUUGUAUUUUGUUUCUGUUCUUGAUCUUUAUCUUGAGUCACAUCAUCAGAAUAUGGACCCAACUAUGGAUUUAAAGAAAAACUGGAUGUCUAAACUGAAAGAGGAGUUUUCCAGGAGCCCAGUGGCAUCUACUUUAGGGAUUGCAUUGAUCCAGAUGGUGUUGGAGAAACUGGUGGAAACUGAGUUUUCAUGUCCCUGUGACUCCGGAUACAACAGUUUACAUACUUCAGUAUGUUUCUUUGUUCCACCAUUUAUAGUCCUUUCACUAAUUUAUGUCACCGCAUGUGACUGUAAACUCUAUGCCGCCUUGAGAUUCGGCAUCAUUCCAGCUGGAAUAUGGCUGGUAAUUGUGUUAUUAGACGGUCGUUAUUACGCCUGCUUAAUGACCGAUUGGUCAGGAAAGUAUGAAACGAUUCAGAACGCUGAACCUCAGAAAUGGUGUCAACCAUCAAACCCCAACUCAUCUCAGGAGCUACUGGCCAAAACCCAGUUCCUGUAUUCUGAAUCGCAGUUCUAUGGAUUCCUGGCAGCGUUUUUGUUGACAUUUUUUUAUAUUUUAUGUUUGAUCGUCUCUUCCUUCUACUCAUUCUGCUGUGCAAAUAUGGACAGAACCACCAUAUUUCUUCUUUCCAUUUUUAUUGCUCCAUUGUCUAUUUAUUGUUUAGUUCUGCGGAUGUUUGACUCUAUUUUGGUUGCCGGUUCAUGUGGUUUGGUUUGUCUGGCCCUGAUGUUCGCAGGUAAACUCACAGAGGACUGAGGGGUUUAAUAACUAACAGGAUAUCCCCAGGGUGACCGCGCCUCUCGGCCGUUAGAGGGGCACCAGCUCCCAUCUCCGCCCAAAUGGGAUGGGGGUCUAAGAAAAUGGGUGGAUGAAAUGAUUUUGUAGAAAUAUUGCUUUUUAGAAAUUUUCCCUGUUUUUAUUUGUUUUGGAAUUUAAAACGCUACUGGUAUAAACUUUAUGAUUUAAAAUUUCAGGAUUAGAUUUGACAUGUUUUGGUUGUAGUUAAAAAGGAUAAAAACAUGACAAUGUAGAUCAAUUAUCAAUGAAUGUCUGUUACAACUGGCCCCCGGACGAGCCCCCAAUUUGUUACGACUGGCUCAAGGUCAUAACAAAAACGGGAGAACAAGCAAUGGUUACGGUGCAGAAAAGGAAAUACUUAUUAACAAAACUACAAUGGAUUGUGAAUAUCAAUGUCAAUGACAUAAUGCAACAUGUCUUGUAUGUGUGCAUGUGGAAGUGUUGAGGUGCAAAAACAAAGAAACUCAAAUGUGCAAAAGCAGCUGAAGCCUGGCAGCAGAGCACCACACAUGGCGAAGGCGACCCAGGAAGUGGAGACGGCCUGCUUCAAAUACUCCACGGUGCAAAUCAGCAAAUCAGCCACCAGGGGGGAGGAGCACAAGGCAAACACCUGCAACCCAGUUUAUAAGGCCCAGAGCCGUAACAAUAACUAAAAUAUAACUGGUAUUAUAAUUAGACAUACGAGAAAUAUUAAAUCCCCGGGUUUUACUCUUGAUGAAAACCAAAACUGGAAACCACACAUCAGAAUUUAAAGAUAAUUUUGUUACAUAAACUGAAAGGCGCUUUGAAUGAUGAAGCUUUGUUGAUGUUUAAUUCACUUAUUGUUUCUUACUUUACUUAUUUUGAAGACGUUUGGAGGAAUGUUUGUUAAUUAUCCAUAAAUUCAAAUCUUAUUUUGUAAAAAGGAGCCGUAAGAAUCAUUAUCAGAAAAUGGUACAGAGAUCAUAUUUUUGAAAUUUCACAACUUGAUGG